CAGAUGUGGACUAUAAGCACAAGCCACUGUCUGGGGACACCAGAUGUCACUGGAGAGUGGCCUGUGCUGAGGACUUGGCUAUGCCCCAAGAGCUGGCUGUCGGAGGUCACACGAUUCCCUCACCCCGGGCACUGCUGCAGCAACACCUCACGUAGCACGUGGACCUUUGGCUACUAUCUCAGUAAGAACAUCUCCUGCAACUGGGAUGAGGGGAAAAAAGGUUUUUUUGGAAGGAAGUUCCCUCAUGGUAUCCAGUAGAAUCUUCAAUCAUUACAAUGAAAAUGACGCAGCUUUGGCCAUCGGGGAGGGAUCCUUGAUUGUGCCAUUGGCUGGUUUCUUCUCCUAUGGGUGACUUCAAGUUACCAGCAGUUUAACAGCCAGGUGAUGCCCUCUUCCGUGCUGUGACCCUCAUCGGACGCCAGGACUGCACUCUUGGUUUCAUCAGCUUCCGAAAUGGCGAACCGAAUCAAACUCUGUGGCUUAUAAACCUCUUGGCCUCCUAUAUCUUGUUAGAAGGCAGGGCUAAGACACCCAAGUAUGCAAUUGUGCACUAGAAGCACAGUUGGGCGUCUAGAAAAACCAACGGGGCGGUCAGUAAGAGAGCUGGUCACCCCUUGGGCCCAGAGCUGCUAGUUUCUUCUGUAUUGAUAGUAGGAUGGCAGGAGGAAGAUGGGCGGGGCCAGGCCCCGCUGAGAGGAAAACCCCUGCUGGACUACUUACAAGCAGUGCACGACCGUGCGACCUUCGCCUCCGUUGUACUCCUCCUGCCACUUGUCCGCCUGGCGGAUGAGCUUCAGGAAGGAGCGCUUGGACACCGGUGUAUCCCUGUACAUCGGCCAGCCCAGGAACUGAAACUGCUGAACCAUCCGAUGUCCAUCCUGUGGCUGCAGAGGGUGAGGCACCGGUCAGGGGGAGGGGCGGAGGAAACAAGCAUCACUUAACCCCACUGGAUCCUGGGCCCCUGAUUCCUCCCUCUUGAUCUUCCCAGCAGAGAAAGGUUGCUAUUCAGGAGCCUCAAGCCAGCAUACAACAAAGGGUAAUUCUGCAGACCUGGGGAGUUAUGACUUUAGGCUCUGGUGACAAUAAAGGCCCAGGUGUUUUUAAAUGACAGGCCAGAGGUAAAGGAGAGUGGCGUGGGAUGCUUACAUUUUGUAAAAAGCCAAGAGGAAAAUGUAACAACAGGACCGGCCAUGCUGUGCAUUUAUGUGGGAAAAUGGCUUCACUUUAAUUACAAGUAAAUUAAAGGUAAGGGGUAAAUUACAACCUAGAAAUGUUUGUGAGUUCGAUGCAACGUAGUUUCUACCCUGUUCUCUGUAUAAAACGGCUUUUGCUGUGCUGUCAAUAGUUAAUUAAUCACUACAUUUAAUUAAACAGGAUUGUGGAAUUCAAA